rnacentral:misc_RNA from 1 species
GAAAGAUUUCCCUGGGUUUUUAAACGGGUAUUAAUGGAGGAAAAAGAAAUUUCUUAAAAAAAAAAAAUUUGUUUUAUGUACCGAUAAAACUGUGUCCAAGCAACCACCAAUUUGUUUUCAUGCACAGAUUACAGAGGAAACUUCAACGUGUGGUCUCGCGAAUGAACUCACUUCAAUCCGCCGAUUUAUCUCUGUAACUCCUUUUGCAGAACCCCAAAAAUCCCUGCUUCCAAGACAUCACAACAAUAUCCAAGAACCCAACAAGAUUAUCAAGAAACUGCAGAUAGAUGAUAGACAGGAUAAGGUUGCCCAUGGAGAACGUGAAGGAGAAUGGAACCAUGAAAAAUUAUGAAGUGGAGACACCCAAAAAUAUAACCAUCAAAGGUAUUCUAAGUUUGCUGAUGCAAAGUAUUGAUGAGAAAGAUGAUAGGAGUGCGAUUUCUCUGGGUAUGGGUGACCCUUCUACUUAUUCUUGCUUUCACACCACACCUAUUGCUCAACAAGCUGUUGUUGAUGCUCUUCAAUCUGACAAGUUCAAUGGUUAUUCCCCUACUGUUGGCCUUCCUCAAACUAGAAGGGCAAUUGCUGAUUACCUAUCUCGUGAUCUUCCUUACAAGUUGUCAUCUGAUGAUGUUUUCAUCACAUCUGGUUGCACACAAGCCAUUGAUGUUGCUUUGGCAAUGCUUUCUCAUCCGGGUGCGAACAUCUUACUCCCAAGGCCAUGCUUCCCCAUUUAUGAACUUUGCGCUGCGUUUAGGGGUCUUGAAGUUCGACACUUUGAUCUUCUCCCGGAGAAAGGUUGGGAGGUUGAUCUUGAUGCAAUUGAGGGUCUUGCAGAUCAGAAUACUGUCGCAUUGGUUAUCAUAAACCCUGGGAAUCCUUGUGGGAAUGUAUACUCUUAUCAACAUUUGAAAGAGAUUGCAGAGACGGCAGAAAAGCAUAAAAUUCUUGUUAUUGCUGAUGAAGUUUAUGGACACCUUGCUUUUGGGAAUAAUCCAUUUGUGCCAAUGGGAGUUUUUGGAUCCAUUGUUCCUGUUCUUACCCUUGGUUCUCUAUCAAAGAGAUGGAUAGUGCCUGGAUGGCGACUUGGCUGGUUUGUGACGACUGAUCCAUCUGGCAUGUUUAGAAAACCAAAGGUUGUUGAUCGUAUUAAGAAGUACUUCGACAUUUUGGGAGGACCUGCAACCUUCAUCCAGGUUUGUGUAUUUCUAUUCUUAUUUGAAUAUACUGUCAUCCCCAACCCCCCUCCCACCUUCUCCUUCUCCUCUUUCCACCUCUUUCCUUUAGUUCAAAAUUUUGUUUUCUCUGGAUGAUGCUGUUUGUGUUCCACAUUGUCCAAAGCUACGAAUGUGAAGAUGCCAACAUUUUUUAUAUAGAUUUGAUGAAAUGUAAUCUAUACUGUUCAUUGUCCUUAGAGUACAAGAAAUAAGCAAUGGCAGGGGAGGGAUAUUGAAAUACCUUUCUUGAUUAGCUGCGGCUAUUCUUGAUUAAAUGAAUGAAUGUGCAAAGCUUGAGUUAAAUGUUGUAGUCCUGUAUGAAACAAUAGUUGCUUGUUUCAUGCUUCACAUUUAAAGUAAUUUUUCAAUGUUAACUUUUUUAAUGUCUUGAGUUUUGAGAGAAGCUGAGAACCUUGAGUUUUCAUUUAGAUUUUAUUCAUGCAAGUACCAUCUACGCCCCAUCCACCCUCUUUCUUUUCUUUCCCCCCCUGAUUUGCAGUUGGAAUCAUUUGGUAUGUUAGGCAGCAGUACCUUGCAUUCUUGAGCAAACAGAUGAAGUUUUUUUCAAGAAAACCAUCAAUAUACUGAAGCAGGCAUCAGAGAUUUGUUGUGAUAGGAUAAAGGAGAUCCCUUGCAUCACUUGUCCGCACGAGCCUCAGGGAUCUAUGGCUGUUAUGGUGAGGAAAGGGAAGAAUUUGCAGUUCUGUUUGCAUUUAAAUAAAUGGGAUUACAUUACAACUCUGAUCUUGUUUGUUGAACUGUUAAUUUAAUGCAGAUGAAACUGAAUCUUUCACUAUUGGAAGAUAUCUCUGAUGAUAUUGAUUUCUGCUUCAAAUUGGCCAAAGAAGAAUCUGUUAUUAUUCUUCCAGGUAAGAAAUAUAUGAUCAGAGAACCAUGUAAUCCUCGCUAACUGGCCAUUACUUGUUUCCAACUUUAUGCUAACUUUUACCUUAUUGAGUUCUGAAUCUUUCACCUGAUGACAUUUGCAAGCAUAACAUCUUCUAGAGGCUAACAAGUGCGCUGAGAAUUAUAUGCUUUUGCAGGAACUGCAGUGGGCCUAAAAGAUUGGCUUCGUAUAACUUUCGCUGCUGAUCCAGCAUCGCUUGAAGAAGCUUUAGGGAGGGUAAAAUCUUUCUGUCAAAGGCACACCAAAUAUAUAUACUAAACUACUAAUAAUAAAAAAUCAGACACUGGCCAGUGCAGCUAUCAAUGAUCACAUGAUAGAUUCUUCCUAGUGGAGAAGCUGUUGAAACUUGAAAGUGGUUAUAUGCAAGCUCUCAAUGGCCAUAUCGUUUAAUUUUUAAACAAAAACAGACCUUAAAGUAUCUGUGUCUGAUAGGUACAGAAAAGAAAGGACUGCUAGACAUGAACUUAACCAGAGUUCAAUGCAUACAAGUCCAUGUGACAUAUAGAUGACAAAUUUUACUAUUUGAAGGUCUUGCUGAUAAAAAAUCUCCUUGCAAUAGUUUCAUUGGAAUGUAUUAAACACUAUUCAAAAUUUUAAGCACCUCAAUUCAAUUUAAGAUUCUCUUUUUUUUUUA